rnacentral:rRNA from 1 species
CCAGACCCUACGGGAGGCAGCAGUGGGGAAUAUUGCACAAUGGGGGAAACCCUGAUGCAGCGACGCCGCGUGAGCGAUGAAGUAUUUCGGUAUGUAAAGCUCUAUCAGCAGGGAAGAAAAUGACGGUACCUGACUAAGAAGCCCCGGCUAACUACGUGCCAGCAGCCGCGGUAAUACGUAGGGGGCAAGCGUUAUCCGGAUUUACUGGGUGUAAAGGGAGCGUAGACGGCAGCACAAGUCUGGAGUGAAAUCCCGGGGCUUAACCCCGGAACUGCUUUGGAAACUGUGCGGCUGGAGUGCAGGAGGGGUAAGCGGAAUUCCUAGUGUAGCGGUGAAAUGCGUAGAUAUUAGGAGGAACACCGGUGGCGAAGGCGGCUUACUGGACUGUAACUGACGUUGAGGCUCGAAAGCGUGGGGAGCAAACAGGAUUAGAUACCCUUGUAC